rnacentral:rRNA from 1 species
UACGGGGGGGGCAAGCGUUGUUCGGAAUUACUGGGCGUAAAGGGCGCGUAGGCGGCCAUCUAAGUCGGACGUGAAAUCCCUCGGCUUAACCGAGGAACUGCGUCCGAUACUGGAAGGCUUGAAUCCGGGAGAGGGAUGUGGAAUUCCAGGUGUAGCGGUGAAAUGCGUAGAUAUCAAGAGGAACACCUGAGGUGAAGACGGGUUGCUGGGCCGACACUGACGCUGAGUGCGCGAAAGCCAGGGGAGCAAACGGG